rnacentral:tRNA from 1 species
AAAAUCCGUCGAAUUGAAAAUCGUGAGGGUUCAAGUCCCUCUAUCCCCA